rnacentral:rRNA from 1 species
UGGGGAAUCUUAGACAAUGGGGGAAACCCUGAUCUAGCCAUGCCGCGUGAUCGAUGAAGGCCUUAGGGUUGUAAAGAUCUUUCAGUGGGGAAGAUAAUGACUGUACCCACAGAAGAAGCCCCGGCUAACUCCGUGCCAGCAGCCGCGGUAAUACGGAGGGGGCUAGCGUUGUUCGGAAUUACUGGGCGUAAAGCGCACGUAGGCGGAUCAGAAAGUCAGAGGUGAAAUCCCAGGGCUCAACCUUGGAACGGCCUUUGAAACUCCUGAUCUUGAGGUCGAGAGAGGUGAGUGGAAUUCCGAGUGUAGAGGUGAAAUUCGUAGAUAUUCGGAGGAACACCAGUGGCGAAGGCGGCUCACUGGCUCGAUACUGACGCUGAGGUGCGAAAGCGUGGGGAGCAAACA